UGUCUUGAUUUGGACAAUGGUUGUUUUAUUUCAUUGGACACUUAAAUUUGUGGAUUAAGUCAUCCACGAAAACCACGAAAAUUGGUACCCCACGAAUAAAAGUACUUUCAUAGUACCUUUGCCUACACCCUCAAUGGAAUCAGCUGUAAUUCAAAAAGCAAUACAUACAGCUUAUAAGGUACAUACACAGGUUGCUAUUUUGAGUUCAAUCAUGCUAUGGUACUUAAAUACACCUAACAGUACUAAAAUUUCAGCCAUUUCAUCCUGAAUUACUCGGAAAAAUAAUUCACACUUCAAAACUAUACCAACAAUUUCUAUCAAAAUCAAUCUAGUAUCAAACAGAUAUAACAACAAACAAUAGCCUGCUUUUCUUCUAACAAUGCCAUUCUACAAAAACAUCUUCUCACCGGGAACCUGCCAUUAUCUACAAUUCUAUAUAUAAUUCCAUGGAUCAAGUUCAUUUCAGUCAGUUCAAGAUAUUGUACUUUUGCUUAUACGAAUAUUUCUUUUACAAUUUAAAAACAAGUAUUCUUGGAAUCUUUUCCAUAUAAAUAAUGAAAAAAUAAAUAACUGAAAGGAUAUGUUGCCUUAUAUAGUUUUAAAUUUUCGAUUCAUGUUAUCCCUAUUUCUGUAAAGACUGAAUCAGAUUUUUGCACUUGUUGACACCAUGAUAAAAAAGGCAAGAACUUGAUAAGAAAUUUCUAUUUGGUCAUUAAAAAUCUUUAAAACUUAUAAUGAAUGAAAUUAAAAGACACCAAGGUCCAGUCAGUCAAAACUUUUUUAUGCACUAACAUGCCUUCUUUUAUCCUGAUGUACUUAUCUGAAUGGGAAAAAGCUAAAGCUUGCCAUUUCAACCAAAAACAUAUACAUGUAUUACCAUCAAUUUUUACCAAAGCUCCCCAUAGCAAAUUCUAUAUACAUACAAAGCCUUCUUUUAACUUUAUUAAAAAUUAAAUAAAGCCCUCUGUUUUGUUUUCUAUAUACAUUUAUACAAUAUUAGCUUGCCUUAUCUUGAUCUUUGAUAUGAAAAAUAUUUAUGUCUCUUGUAGUUUUGCCUUUAAUUCCAUUGUUUGCCUAUACAAAUUGCUUCACCUGAAAAUGUGACAUAUGCUAAGCUGUUUAAAAAAAAACGGUGAUUAGAAGCGUAAAAACCACAAUGUAAUUCAUUUUGCUAGUAAAAAAAAUAAACACCUAUAAAUAUUAUAAAUAAUAGAAUUAAAUCUUUAUCUUAUAUUUUUUCAUUCCAAUUUUAAAAUAUAAUUCUUUAGAGCUGGAAACUGUAAUAUCAGGAAAAGCUAAUAUUUUUUUAAAAUGGACGAAUAUUUAGAAAAUCACAGUUCUAAUGAUAUAGUAUAUUCUUCUUUAAUAGCAUGCUUCUUGUAAAACACCCAAUUGAUGUAGGGUAAAUUUCAAAUACUUCUUUCUAUAACAAAAUAUACAUAUUUUUUUAUCAUUCUUAAAACUCAGGACAAUGUCUUUUUUUCUGAACUUAAAAAAAAUAUACUCAAUCUCAUAUAUUUUACAAUUUCAAAUUCUAUACAGUAUAAUAUUAACUAUUUACAUACCAGUACAAGUUGUUUAAAGAAUGCUUAACAAAAAUACUAUAUUACAUGUACAAAUAAAAGAGUAGGUAGGAUAAGAGGUUUCAGCCAGCUUAGUUCACUUUAAACACCAGGGUUGAUGUGCAUAAAACUACUUCAGUUAAGAUCUCUCAAAAGAGCUGUUGAGUAUGAG
rnacentral:lncRNA from 1 species